CAACAUCGGUCCAAUCCUUAAAGUCAUCCUCAGUUCGGACUGGGGUCUGCAACCCGACCCCACGAAGCUGGAUUCGCUAGUAAUCGCGCAUCAGCCAUGGCGCGGUGAAUACGUUCCCGGGCCUUGUACACACCGCCCGUCAAGCCAUGAAAGCCGGGGGUACCUGAAGUACGUAACCGCAAGGAGCGUCCUAGGGUAAAACUGGUAAUUGGGGCUAAGUCGUAACAAGGUAAC
rnacentral:rRNA from 1 species